GAGGAAUAUUGGUCAAUGGGUGGAAGCCUGAACCAGCCAAGUCGCGUGAAGGAAGAAGGAUCUAUGGUUUGUAAACUUCUUUUGAAGGGGGAUAAAGUGCGUCACGAGUGAUGCAUUGCAGGUACCCUUGGAAUAAGCAUCGGCUAACUCCGUGCCAGCAGCCGCGGUAAUACGGAGGAUGCGAGCGUUAUCCGGAUUUAUUGGGUUUAAAGGGUGCGUAGGUGGCUUUUUAAGUCAGCGGUGAAAACUGGCGGCUCAACCGCAAGAGUGCCGUUGAAACUGGGGAGCUAGAGUAUGAACGAGGUAGGCGGAAUGUGUGGUGUAGCGGUGAAAUGCAUAGAUAUCACGCAGAACUCCGAUAGCGAAGGCAGCUUACCAGGCCAUAACAGACACUGAAGCACGAAAGCGUGGGGAUCGAAC
rnacentral:rRNA from 1 species